CGGACUACCAGGGUUUCUAAUCCUGUUUGAUACCCACACUUUCGAGCCUCAAUGUCAGUUGCAGCUUAGCAGGCUGCCUUCGCAAUCGGAGUUCUUCGUGAUAUCUAAGCAUUUCACCGCUACACCACGAAUUCCGCCUGCCUCAACUGCACUCAAGACAUCCAGUAUCAACUGCAAUUUUACGGUUGAGCCGCAAACUUUCACAACUGACUUAACUGUCCACCUACGCUCCCUUUAAACCCAAUAAAUCCGGAUAACGCUCGGAUCCUCCGUAUUACCGCGGCUGCUGGCACGGAGUUAGCCGAUCCUUAUUCAUAUGGUACAUACAAAAUUCCACACGUGGAAAACUUUAUUCCCAUAUAAAAGAAGUUUACAACCCAUAGGGCAGUCAUCCUUCACG
rnacentral:misc_RNA from 1 species